ensembl:lncRNA
AUGUGGAGGCUAUAUACAGAGGGUACCGGUACAGAGUCAAUGUGGAGGCUAUAUACAGGGGGGUACCGGUACAGAGUCAAUGUGGAGGCUAUAUACAGGGGGUACCGGUACAGAGUCAAUGUGGAGGCUAUAUACAGGGGGUACCGGUACAGAGUCAAUGUGGAGGCUAUAUACAGGGGGGUACCGGUACAGAGUCAAUGUGGAGGCUAUAUACAGGGUGUUACGGUACAGAGUCAAUGUGGAGGCUAUAUACAGGGGGGUACCGGUACAGAGUCAAUGUGGAGGCUAUAUACAGGGGGUACCGGUACAGAGUCAAUGUGGAGGCUAUAUACAGAGGGUACCGGUACAGAGUCAAUGUGGAGGCUAUAUACAGGGGGGUACCGGUACAGAGUCAAUGUGGAGGCUAUAUACAGGGCGUUACGGUACAGAGUCAAUGUGGAGGCUAUAUACAGAGGGUACCGGUACAGAGUCAAUGUGGAGGCUAUAUACAGGGGGGUACCGGUACAGAGUCAAUGUGGAGGCUAUAUACAGGGGGUUACGGUACAGAGUCAAUGUGGAGACUAUAUACAGGGUGUUACGGUACAGAGUCAAUGUGGAGGCUAUAUACAGGGGGUUACGGUACAGAGUCAAUGUGGAGACUAUAUACAGGGUGUUACGGUACAGAGUCAAUGUGGAGGCUAUAUACAGGGGGGUACCGGUACAGAGUCAAUGUGGAGGCUAUAUACAGAGGGUACCGGUACAGAGUCAAUGUGGAGGCUAUAUACAGGGGGUACCGGUACAGAGUCAAUGUGGAGGCUAUAUACAGGGGGGUACCGGUACAGAGUCAAUGUGGAGGCUAUAUACAGGGUGUUACGGUACAGAGUCAAUGUGGAGGCUAUAUACAGGGGGGUACCGGUACAGAGUCAAUGUGGAGGCUAUAUACAGGGGGUACCGGUACAGAGUCAAUGUGGAGGCUAUAUACAGAGGGUACCGGUACAGAGUCAAUGUGGAGGCUAUAUACAGGGGGGUACCGGUACAGAGUCAAUGUGGAGGCUAUAUACAGGGCGUUACGGUACAGAGUCAAUGUGGAGGCUAUAUACAGAGGGUACCGGUACAGAGUCAAUGUGGAGGCUAUAUACAGGGGGGUACCGGUACAGAGUCAAUGUGGAGGCUAUAUACAGGGGGUUACGGUACAGAGUCAAUGUGGAGGCUAUAUACAGAGGGUACCGGUACAGAGUCAAUGUGGAGGCUAUAUACAGAGGGUACCGGUACAGAGUCAAUGUGGAGGCUAUAUACAGAGGGUACCGGUACAGAGUCAAUGCGGAGGCUAUAUACAGGGUGUACCAGUACAGAGUCAAUGUGGAGGCUAUAUACAGGGGGGUACCGGUACAGAGUCAAUGUGGAGGCUAUAUACAGGGGGGUACCGGUACAGAGUCAAUGUGGAGGCUAUAUACAGAGGGUACCGGUACAGAGUCAAUGCGGAGGCUAUAUACAGGGGGGUACCGGUACAGAGUCAAUGUGGAGGCUAUAUACAGGGGGGUACCGGUACAGAGUCAAUGUGGAGGCUAUAUACAGGGGGUUACGGUACAGAGUCAAUGUGGAGGCUAUAUACAGAGGGUACCGGUACAGAGUCAAUGUGGAGGCUAUAUACAGAGGGUACCGGUACAGAGUCAAUGCGGAGGCUAUAUACAGGGGGGUACCGGUACAGAGUCAAUGUGGAGGCUAUAUACAGAGGGUACCGGUACAGAGUCAAUGCGGAGGCUAUAUACAGGGGGGUACCGGUACAGAGUCAAUGUGGAGGCUAUAUACAGAGGGUACCGGUACAGAGUCAAUGUGGAGGCUAUAUACAGAGGGUACCGGUACAGAGUCAAUGCGGAGGCUAUAUACAGGGGGGUACCGGUACAGAGUCAAUGUGGAGGCUAUAUACAGGGGGUACCGGUACAGAGUCAAUGCGGAGGCUAUAUACAGGGGGGUACCGGUACAGAGUCAAUGUGGAGGCUAUAUACAGGGGGUACCGGUACAGAGUCAAUGCGGAGGCUAUAUACAGGGGGUACCGGUACAGAGUCAAUGCGGAGGCUAUAUACAGGGGGUACCGGUACAGAGUCAAUGUGGAGGCUAUAUACAGGGGGGUACCGGUACAGAGUCAAUGUGGAGGCUAUAUACAGGGGGUUACGGUACAGAGUCAAUGUGGAGGCUAUAUACAGGGGGUACCGGUACAGAGUCAAUGUGGAGGCUAUACACAGGGUGUUACGGUACAGAGUCAAUGUGGAGGAUGUAUACAGGGUGUUACGGUACAGAGUCAAUGUGGAGGCUAUAUACAGGGUGUUACGGUACAGAGUCAAUGUGGAGGCUAUAUACAGGGUGUUACGGUACAGAGUCAAUGUGGAGGCUAUAUACAGGGGGGUACCGGUACAGAGUCAAUGUGGAGGCUAUAUACAGGGUAUUACGGUACAGAGUCAAUGUGGAGACUAUUUUCAGGGUGUACCGGUACAGAGUCAAUGUGUAGGCUAUAUACAGGGGGGGGUACCGGUACAGAGUCAAUGUGGAGGCUAUAUACAGGGUGUACCGGUACAGAGUCAAUGUGGAGGCUAUAUACAGGGUGUACCGGUACAGAGUCAAUGUGGAGGCUAUAUACAGGGUGUACCGGUACAGAGUCAAUGUGGAGGCUAUAUACAGGGUGUUACGGUACAGAGUCAAUGUGGAGGCUAUAUACAGGGUGUUACGGUACAGAGUCAAUGUGGAGGCUAUAUACAGGGUGUACCGGUACAGAGUCAAUGUGGAGGCUAUAUACAGGGUGUUACGGUACAGAGUCAAUGUGGAGGCUAUAUACAGGGGGUACCGGUACAGAGUCAAUGUGGAGGCUAUAUACAGAGGGUACCGGUACAGAGUCAAUGUGGAGGCUAUAUACAGAGGGUACCGGUACAGAGUCAAUGUGGAGGCUAUAUACAGGGUGUACCGGUACAGAGUCAAUGUGGAGGCUAUAUACAGGGGGUACCGGUACAGAGUCAAUGUGGAGGCUAUAUACAGGGUGUACCGGUACAGAGUCAAUGUGGAGGCUAUAUACAGGGUGUUACGGUACAGAAUCAAUGUGGAGGCUAUAUACAGGGUGUUACGGUACAGAGUCAAUGUGGAGGCUAUAUACAGGGUGUACCGGUACAGAGUCAAUGUGGAGGCUAUAUACAGGGUGUUACGGUACAGAGUCAAUGUGGAGGCUAUAUACAGGGUGUUACGGUACAGAGUCAAUGUGGAGGCUAUAUACAGGGUGUUACGGUACAGAGUCAAUGUGGAGGCUAUAUACAGGGUGUUACGGUACAGAGUCAAUGUGGAGGCUAUAUACAGGGGGGUACCGGUACAGAGUCAAUGUGGAGGCUAUAUACAGGGCGUUACGGUACAGAGUCAAUGUGGAGGCUAUAUACAGGGGGGUACCGGUACAGAGUCAAUGUGGAGGCUGUAUACAGGGUAUUCCGGUACAGAGUCAUUGUGGAGGCUAUAUACAGGGUGUUACGGUACAGAGUCAAUGUGGAGGCUAUAUACAGGGUGUACCGGUACAGAGUCAAUGUGGAGGCUAUAUACAGGGUGUUACGGUACAGAGUCAAUGUGGAGGCUAUAUACAGGGUGUACCGGUACAGAGUCAAUGUGGAGGCUAUAUACAGGGGGUAUUGGUACAGAGUCAAUGUGGAGGCUAUAUACAGGGGGGUACCGGUACAGAGUCAAUGUGGAGGCUAUAUACAGGGGGUUACGGUACAGAGUCAAUGUGGAGGCUAUAUACAGGGGGUACCGGUACAGAGUCAAGUUGGCGGCUCUAUACAGGGAGUUGCGGUACAGAGUCAAUGUGGAGGAUGUAUACAGGGUGUUACGGUACAGAGUCAAUGUGGAGGCUAUAUACAGGGUGUUACGGUACAGAGUCAAUGUGGAGGCUAUAUACAGGGUGUUACGGUACAGAGUCAAUGUGGAGGCUAUAUACAGGGGGGUACCGGUACAGAGUCAAUGUGGAGGCUAUAUACAGGGUAUUACGGUACAGAGUCAAUGUGGAGACUAUUUUCAGGGUGUACCGGUACAGAGUCAAUGUGUAGGCUAUAUACAGGGGGGGUACCGGUACAGAGUCAAUGUGGAGGCUAUAUACAGGGUGUACCGGUACAGAGUCAAUGUGGAGGCUAUAUACAGGGUGUACCGGUACAGAGUCAAUGUGGAGGCUAUAUACAGGGUGUACCGGUACAGAGUCAAUGUGGAGGCUAUAUACAGGGUGUUACGGUACAGAGCCAAUGUGGAGGCUAUAUACAGGGUGUUACGGUACAGAGUCAAUGUGGAGGCUAUAUACAGGGGGGUACCGGUACAGAGUCAAUGUAG